CCGAAUGUUACCAAACAAACCACUGUGAACCGUCCCUUUAGCUGCUUCGGCGGGCGAUCCCAGGGCGGGAUCCCGGGCUCCUUAUGGGGUGCUCGCCGGCGGCCACUUUCUAGCUCUGUUUCUAGCGGGCUUCUGAGUGUAAACCAAAAAUAAUCA
rnacentral:misc_RNA from 1 species